GGGCCGAUAUGAUGGCCAUAUUUUGUUGCCUCUUAUCGAACGUACGCAGCGCACACCAAUACUAUUACGCUAUAAGCAAUGCCGCUGGUGUGAAUGUGGGAAAAUGAACCUAGGCACACAAAAUCUACGCAUAUUGUUCGUUAUUAUUUCCAUAGCGUAGCUCGCGGUUUAAAAUAAAAAAGAACAAUUAUCACGAUGAUAACAUUUCGCAUCACAAGUUUCCAACCAAUAUCGAUGCGCGGGAUAGAUGGCUAAAUGCCAUUGCGAACGUGGAUUAAACCACUGAUAAGUAAACCGAAGACUUUCAAUGCACAUUCUCACAUACCAGCUUUGCGCAGUUUUUGUCUUGUUUGGCGCAUUUUGUACCAUUUUCAC